rnacentral:rRNA from 1 species
GACGAACGCUGGCGGCGUGCUUAACACAUGCAAGUCGAACGAUGAAGAAGAGAAACGCGAACUUCGGUUCAAAUUUCACUUCGGAUUAGUGGCAGACGGGUGAGUAACGCGUGAGCAACCUACCUCUUACAAAGGGAUAGCCUCGGGAAACCGUGAUUAAUACCAUAUGACACAUUCAUAAGGCAUCUUAAGAAUGUUAAAGCUACGGCGGUAAGAGAUGGGCUCGCGUCCCAUUAGCUAGUUGGUGAGGUAGCGGCCCACCAAGGCGACGAUGGGUAACCGGCCUGAGAGGGUGAACGGUCACAUUGGAACUGAGACACGGUCCAAACUCCUACGGGAGGCAGCAGUAGGGAAUAUUGCACAAUGGAGGGAACUCUGAUGCAGCGACGCCGCGUGAGCGAUGAAGGAAUUCGUUUCGUAAAGCUCUGUUCUAUGGGAAGAAAAGGACUGUACCAUAGGAGAAAGCCCCGGCUAAAUACGUG